rnacentral:rRNA from 1 species
AUGCAUCAUCCCUCGCCGUUCCUCUUCCUCCUCCUCCUCCUCCUCGCCGCCUCGCCUCUGGUCGCCACCGCGGCGACGUUCAACUGCGUCGGCGGGGUAUACAAGGCCAACAGCACCUACGAGGCCAACCUCCGCCGCCUGGCCGCCGUGCUCCCGGCCGAGACCGCCUCCUCCCAAGACCUCCAGGCGACCCGCGGCGUGGGGUAUUGGCCCAACCGGCCGCGGGCCUCCACGCGGUGCUACUGGGGCGUCAGCCCUUCCUCCUGCGCCGCCUGCGUCGCCGGCGCCUUCCGGGAGGCGCAGAGGGAGUGCCCGUAUGGCAAGAAGGCGGUCGUCUUCGCCCGCAACUGCACUCUCAGCCUCGCCGAUUUUCCCAGAGCUCUCGGCUUCCGUGAGUUCUCUUCUCUCAUCUUUUUUCCAGAAGAUAAUUGA